GUGCUUGCUUCAACAGCACAUACACUAAAAUUGGAACAAUACAGAGAAGAAUAGCAUGGCCCCUGUGCAAGGAUGACAUGCAAAUUUGUGAAGUGUUCCAUAUUUAC